UGGGGAAUUUUGGACAAUGGGCGAAAGCCUGAUCCGGCAAUGCCGCGUGUGUGAAGAAGGCCUUCGGGUUGUAAAGCACUUUUGUCCGGAAAGAAAUCCUUGGCUCUAAUACAGUCGGGGGAUGACGGUACCGGAAGAAUAAGCACCGGCUAACUACGUGCCAGCAGCCGCGGUAAUACGUAGGGUGCAAGCGUUAAUCGGAAUUACUGGGCGUAAAGCGUGCGCAGGCGGUUUGCUAAGACCGAUGUGAAAUCCCCGGGCUCAACCUGGGAACUGCAUUGGUGACUGGCAGGCUAGAGUAUGGCAGAGGGGGGUAGAAUUCCACGUGUAGCAGUGAAAUGCGUAGAGAUGUGGAGGAAUACCGAUGGCGAAGGCAGCCCCCUGGGCCAAUACUGACGCUCAUGCACGAAAGCGUGGGGAGCAAACAGGAUUAGAUACCCUGGUAGUCCACGCCCUAAAACGAUGUCAACUAGUUGUUGGGGAUUCAUUUCCUUAGUAACGUAGCUAACGCGUGAAGUUGACCGCCUGGGGAGUACGGUCGCAAGAUUAAAACUCAAAGGAAUUGACGGGGUCAUAGCUGUUUCCU
rnacentral:rRNA from 1 species